UAGGGAAUCUUCGGCAAUGGGGGGAACCCUGACCGAGCAACGCCGCGUGAGUGAAGAAGGUUUUCGGAUCGUAAAGCUCUGUUGUUAAGGAAGAACGAGUGUGAGAAUGGAAAGUUCAUACUGUGACGGUACUUAACCGGAAAGGGACGGCUAACUACGUGCCAGCAGCCGCGGUAAUACGUAGGUCCCGAGCGUUGUCCGGAUUUAUUGGGCGUAAAGCGAGCGCAGGCGGUUAGAUAAGUCUGAAGUUAAAGGCAGUGGCUCAACCAUUGUAGGCUUUGGAAACUGUUUAACUUGAGUGCAGAAGGGGAGAGUGGAAUUCCAUGUGUAGCGGUGAAAUGCGUAGAUAUAUGGAGGAACACCGGUGGCGAAAGCGGCUCUCUGGUCUGUAACUGACGCUGAGGCUCGAAAGCGUGGGGAGCGAACAGG
rnacentral:rRNA from 1 species